CUGACGGUGGUCGUGUUGAUGUCGCCGAUGAUGCCAAGCGCCUCCUUCAGAGCGUGGUACAUGCGCAGCAUCUCGUCGCGCCGCUGUGCCUGCUCAGCUGACUCUUCCAUCAGUGUGUUCUGGUCCCCGCACGAGUACAGAUGGGGACACUGAGGUCUAGAGAGGAAAAGUCACCUAAGAUGACCCUGGAGGAGACUCAGGAACUGUCAUGCCACCAGGACACCUGUCUAAUCAGCAUUUUGAGCGCCUCCAGGUGAAAUCUAAAUUCAAAUGAAGAAAUUCUAAUGAAAAUGUAAUGUCUGAAUUGCAUUUGGAAAAUGUAGGAUAAAAAAGUAUGUAUAAUAUCUUGUUGAUUUUGUUAAAUGUUGAAAAGAUAAUAUUUCAGAUAUAUUGGGUUAAAUAAUUUUUAGAUUGGUUACAUAUUGAAAAGAUAGUAUUUGGGAUAUAUUAGAUUUAAAAUAUAAUUAUUAAAAUUGUUUUAGUUUCUUCUUUUAACAUGACUACUGGAAAAUAUAAAAUUAUAGACUAAGCCUACACUGCAUUUCUAUUAGACAGCUCUGAGGCUGGGACUAUGCCUCCCUCUCUGGACCUAAUCCCAUGGGGCUGGCCAGCAUCUCCCCCAGGCCAACCUGGCUGCCUGCCUUCCUGAUCCCACAGGAGCACCCCGCCCCCAUGUGGUGGUUC